rnacentral:rRNA from 1 species
UACGGGGGGUGCGAGCGUUGUCCGGAAUCACUGGGCGUAAAGGGCGCGUAGGUGGCUUGGUAAGCGUGUGGUGAAAGCCCGGGGCUCAACCCCGGGUCUGCCAUGCGAACUGCUAUGGCUUGAGCACUGUAGAGGCAGGUAGAAUUCCGGGUGUAGCGGUGGAAUGCGUAGAGAUCCGGAAGAACACCAGAGGCGAAGGCGACCUCCUGGGUCGUACCUGACGCUGAGAUGCGAAAGCUAGGGGAGCAAACGGG